AAGUCGUAACAAGGUUUCCGUAGGUGAACCUGCGGAAGGAUCAUUACCGAGUUCAUGCCCUUCGGGGUAGAUCUCCCACCCUUUGUUUACUAUACUAUGUUGCUUUGGCGGACCGCCUGAUCGCCCCUCGGGGUCUUCAGCUACCGGCUUCGGCUGGUACGUGUCCGCCAGAGGACCCAAAACCCUGAAUAUUAGUGUCGUCUGAGUAAAAAGUUUAAUAUUUAAAACUUUCAACAACGGAUCUCUUGGCUCUG
rnacentral:misc_RNA from 1 species